ensembl:lncRNA
AUCUUUUGGAUCUGGGCUGUUUCUUGAGAAGGGGUGCUGUGUAGGUAGAGAAGCCUUUUGCCACUGGGGUAAUUUGGAAGUGACUGCAAGCUGGAGUGAAGUGUGAGACAAUUCGUGAAGAUGUAUUUUCCUGGAGUGGCUGCUGGGAUGCACCUUUUUUUUCUUCUCUUGCCCUUGCAUGGCCGCAUAUCUCGGCAUCCAGAAAGACAGCCAAGAAGGAAAAAAUAAAACUUCUCUAUCCAGGCACAGCUGCUGUCAUCUUCCAACACGAGAAGCCUUCAGGAUCCCACUUUCUGCAGAUGUAAACAUCAAAAAAUCUCUUCUACAAGAGUUAAAAUUGAAUUGCCUUUCUGAAGAGAGAUGUGGGAUGCUAAUCUUAUUCUGCAUAAAUUGAAAAUGCUGGAGAAACAAAAAAGCAAGGGACCUUUUCUCAUAGGUUUCUGGAAAAUAUAUAUAACGGUUCCAUACAUGAUGGUGUUUGUGCAGGUAUAUGAGAUCAAAACAAAAGGAAUGUCUUUUUUUUUCUCUCAGAGUUUUAGAACCUCAUUGUUUUUUUUUCCUCUGAAUUUGGGCAGUUGUUGCUGAAAAUGACAAGCAGAAAUAUGUAGAUGUGAAAUCUCUUUUCUAAAAAUGAGAUUUCAAGGACAUGCUGCUGGAGCCAAAUCUGGAACCCUUUGGGUAUGUGUUCAUGGAAUUUUGAGUGAGAUUGCUGUCAAGAGGAUGUGAGAUGUCAAAGGCUUAAUGAUAACAUCUGCCUAUGAGUUGUUCCAAUAGUAAAAAAAUCUUUUGUGCUUUUUAGCAAGAAAACAAUUGUUUUUGACAUAACUCUUAUGGAAACAUCUGAACAUUGCAAGUUGUUCCAGUGCUGGAUAGCAGGAAACAGAUAUCUCUGGACUGUCAUAGUUUGGGCUAAUUGGAGCUUUUCCAGGAUUUCUCCUAAAUAUCCUGGCUUUCCUGAGGGCUUCUUUCCAGAACUCCUUUUGUACCCUUUUUCGCAGACUUGCUCUUGAUAAGUCAGUAAAGUCUCAGUACAGUCAGCAAAAGAUGCGAGGGAUGAAAGAACAGCCUGUCUUAAAUGCAGUAGAUUUUGUUUAUUAAUUAACAAGCACAGCAAAAUGAACUACAAAAGAGCCUGUGAAAGGUAAAUGGAUUUGUGAUUGAGUCAGAAAUAGCUGAAAGACAGUUCACCCCAGUAGAGAAAGCCUCUCUUUUAAUAUACAGCUAAUCCUUUGAAAAAUGCUGGAAGGACUUCUCAUAAGAGAAGAAAAUUGCUGAGAUUUGAAUUGCAAAUAUUUGCUGCAAGCGUUGUUUUCAACAAAUAUAUGUUAGGGUGUUUUGGAUUUUUGACUGUUCCUAUUAAUUUCCAGGUAUGAUGCAUCAGUCCACCCCUCUCCCUACUAACUCUAAACAACUGCAAAAUGUGUUUUCCACAAAACCUGUAUGUUUAGCUGUCUUAGGCAUCUGAGGUUAGAAAACCCAAGGGGUGUGGUUGCCAAAACUCAAUUAUAAAUUAGCUUACAGUAACCAGUGAGAAAAGAUAAUUGUAAAACACUUGUUCACAACUAUCGAUAUUUUAUUUGUUCUCACGUAAUCCCUUUUUGUCACAAUUCACAUUUAUUAACAACCUGUUAAUAAAUUCACAUUUAUUAACAACCUGUUAGUUGACUACAAAUAAAACCUGACAUGCUG